CCAGUGGUAUAUGCUUGUCUCAAAGACUAAGCCAUGCAAGUCUAAGUAUAAGUUAUUCUGAAGACGAAACUGCGAAUGGCUCGGUAAAACAGCAAUAAUUUCUUCGGUGAUGAGUUUACUCACGGAUAACCGUAGUAAUUCUAGAGCUAAUACGUGCUGAGAAAAGAUGGGGUUCGCUCCAUCGUGCCGUUUAGAUAACAACACCAACAUUUGGUGAUUCAUAAUCGUCUUUCUGAUCGCUUAAUGCGACGCACCGUUCAAAUUUCUGACCUAUCAACUUUCGAUGGUAAGGUAGUGUCUUACCAUGGUGGCAACGGGUAACGGACCGUGGGUGCGGGACUCCGGAGAGGGAGCCUGAGAAACGGCUACCACAUCCAAGGAAGGCAGCAGGCGCGCAACUUGCCCAAUCCAAAUUCUGGGAGGCAGUGACAAGAAAUAUCAAUAGGGGAUCCUAUGGGUCUUCUAAUUGGAAUGAGAACAAGCUAAACAGCUUAUCGAGAAUCCAGC
rnacentral:rRNA from 1 species